UACGAAGGGGGCUAGCGUUGCUCGGAAUCACUGGGCGUAAAGCGCACGUAGGCGGCUUCUCACGUCAGGGGUGAAAUCCUGGAGCUCAACUCCAGAACUGCCUUUGAUACUGAGGGGCUCGAGUCCGGGAGAGGUGAGUGGAACUGCGAGUGUAGAGGUGAAAUUCGUAGAUAUUCGCAAGAACACCAGUGGCGAAGGCGGCUCACUGGCCCGGUACUGACGCUGAGGUGCGAAAGCGUGGGGAGCAAACAGG
rnacentral:rRNA from 1 species